UGGCGCUCCCAGCCCCCUGAGGACUCCAGGCUCAUUUGACCAGCACAGCUGUGACUUCGGCGAUCUGCUGCUGCCAGGUGCCCGUUUCAGCAUCUUGUCCCACUGCCACGGGGAGUUUAUUUUUGCGCAAGGGCAGCUGCCAAACCCAGCACCAGCAUCAAUAGAAGGUUUUCUCCGAUUUUUUUCUCUUCAUCCCAGGCCCAGCUUUCUUACCCAUCCCUGUUUUUCAUUUUGCAGAAAAUGCCAAGGGAUUGGCCAUAGACCAUCACCUCCUUCUUUCUAACUUUUUUUUCUGUUCGCCUUACCAGCUUCCCUAGCAGAAACUAUGACCCAUAGUAGGAAGUGAAACACUGCUGGGUAAACGAAAAACUUCAGGAUGUCAAAGGAUUUCCUCUGUAAUACAGUAGUCGAGACUGGACCAUUUAACAUCCUCUUGCAGCCAUGGAGAUGCUGCAAGGUAUCCUCCUGAAGCUAUUGAGGGUGACCUGGGAGAAAGGGUGAAAUAAAACAUUAGAGUCAAAGUGACUCUCAAUCUGUCUGCUGCAUUUUCUGCUGAGAGAUGAAAACCUAGCAUUUGUCCCCAGGAAAAGCUGAGCGAGAUGGGCCAGCAUCACCGGAAAGGAAGGACAGGACUCCACAUGGGGUGGACUUCGUGGGAAAUUAGCCAGUGAGUCUGCUGAUGUUUUAACCUUGCCUCAAGUGCAGGAUGCUGGCAAGAAAGAUGGCCCAUUCCGCCAGUCUUGACCAACCCCAGGGAUGCAGCCUCUGCCAGCAUCCUGAGAAGCAAACUCAGGUGCUGAACAAUUCAGCUUGUGUGUGGAGCAUCUACUGUGCUUGAAUGAACCAUCAUUUGGAGCCAAAGCUAAGUUGAGAAUCCAAGGCCCUCUGACAGCCGCUUAAGGGAACAACCAUCAUUUCCAGAUUGGCAUAAUCUUUCACUCUGAUAUCUCUUGGAGAAUCUGAAUUGUCUAUGUAGAUAGUCCAUAAAGCUGUUUUUCAGACUCAGUCUGUAAGAGGUGAGUCUCAGUCCACAUGUCUACAACCCACCCAUUAUGAAGAAGGCAGAUAUAUCCACCCUCAGCCUGUACCCAAAAGGCCACAUGGAAAAUCCAAUGGAGUCACCCCUCUGAGCCUCCAGGGACUGUGAGCAUGGAGCAUGGCCAGAUCCACAGGUCAGUGGAAGUCCCAGCUGCCAGGCAUCAACCAUGGUGCAAUGGGAAUGGGAGACCCCAGAGCUGUCCGCCAAACACAAAUCUUAGAACUAGCGAAGAGCAGAAUGAGAAAUCAGAACACCCAGUGGAUGCCCUGGGUGUAAGGCUGUUAGAAGUCAAUAAAAGCCUGCCACCUGUCACCAGGCUGGCAGGAUGUCUGCAUGGGUCCAGGUGAAGGUACUCUGGGCUCUCUGGGCCCAGCAGCACUUAAAGCGCCAUCUAUAAAGCUCCCAUGCUAUUUCUGUGUCACAAGUGCUGCAGGGCUGGGUGAUCCAGCUUUAUCUUCCUGGUGGGCAAACACUUUUUAAACUGGAGUUUGCUUUAAAGAGUUUUCUCAUCCUCUGUGCAUUUCCCCUUGAUAUUGAAAUUAUUUUCUCUUGUUUAAUCCAGCUCCUGCUGAGAAGCCCUGUGAGCUGUAGGAAGUGGGGCUGUUUUGCUGUGUCUUUUGAAUGGUGUUGCAUUUUUACUCUUAACCGGAGGGUACAUCUCAGUUAUGUUAGUUCUAUUUCACGCAAGUUAACGGAAGGAUUCUGGGUUUUAGGAUCAUUUUAGAAGUCUGUCCUGGGAGAGGGGUUCAGAUACCCAGCCUCAUCAGAGCUGGGUUGAGGGGUAGAAUGAGCCCUGCGGAAGCCCCCGGUUAGAAGAGGGUAUGGAUGAGCAGCUUUCUUUCUGGUCUCCUUUUCACAUUGUGUGUUUCCUGAGUUUUUCACAUGUAGAAGAUAACGUGUUUAUUUCAUCAUCUCAUGUAUGUGCUUCCUGAGGAGCCUGGAUGUUCUCCUGGGGUCCUUCCCACGCAGCUUCCUCAUACAUUUGGCGCCUUGCUUUAUCACCACCACCCACGCAAGACCAUC
ensembl:lncRNA